CCAAAAAAGGCAAAAAGAGACAUUGUCUCAUCCUCUCUAUUUAUAAGAUAAAAUAUUACCAUGCCUUUAGACAUACAAGAUUCCCACUAUUUGUCUCAGUAGCACAUGGCCUUGUUCUUAUUUGGAAAAUUCCUCCAAAAGGGAAAAGAAGGAUAAAAAACAAUAAAGAAAAAGACAAGUGAGGCUGAGAGAUUGUUAAAUAGCAAAAAGCAUGUGAGCUUUCAGCUGUCCCUUAUGUGACCACGUCUCCUUCCACUAUCUUCUUUUUCUUGAAUUGACUUCACCUUUAAUCAUCACGCCUUGCAAAUUCCAUGCUCAGAGAAGAUUCCUCAGAAAUAGUGCCCACUGAAUCAGAUGUACACACGACGAUGCAACAAAGCUGUUUCUAGAUCCCAAAGAAAAGAUUUUCUUUGGCAUUAUGGAGGACUAAUUGGGUGUGUUUCUUCAAUGUCCGAACAUGAAUGCAACUUGAUGGUUCAAGAUCAAGGGGAAUUGCCAUCCGGUUGGGGUUUGGUGAUAGAAAGAGUGAAAUAUAUGAGAAGGAUUGUUCCCAUGCUUGAUCUGCCAUAUAGAGAGGGAAAUGUUUAGUGAAAUGGAAUGAUCAUCAAUGCGUAACUUCAAUAUCUAGCUAAACAUAUUGUAAUUUUGGUUCAAUACAACUAAACAAUUAUACGAUUGUAGUGUAAGUGCUUUAAGAUCAGCAAUGGAGCUGAAAAGUUAUGUAGAAAGAUGGCCAGGUGAGGACACUCAAGAGGGCUUACAAGGUAGCAAAGAAGACGAAAAUCCUCUUAGGUUCAAGAAUCCAUGAAAGAGAAGUACGUCUUGAGCCACUCCUCCGAACGAUGCAUUUGCCACCGGCUAUGGUGCAUUUGCCGUCAUUGACGACACCGGAGAUGGUGGUGGUGAUAGUAUUCUGAUGAUUUGCUCGUGUGUCGUUAGAAUGCUCCGCUGUCAUCCCUCCGGCCUCCAUGUUUGGUCUUUCCGCUGUGCUAAUAAUGAUAGCCUCUUC
rnacentral:lncRNA from 1 species